UCUUCAAUGUUAAGGAAAAAACUACGCUCCGAAUCAAAUCCACUAUUAACAAAAAUAAGUACAAGAUAAUUCAGCAAGAAUUAAAUUUAAAAAAUAAUAAUAAUUUUUCUUUAUGCAUAACUUAAGGGAAAGGUAAACAAAAAUCAAAUUAAACUUUCCUUAAAAAAACGAAAUAGUUGACCUCACUGAUGAGAGAAUGACCCCUUCCUUCUUUUCUUUUCUCUUGGCUGCCACUCUACCAUACGUAUAUGUAUAUAUAUAUAUAUAUACCCUUUCCUAUUUUUCUUCUUCUUCAUUUUCUCUCUUUUUUCUUCUUUCUCUCUUUCUUUUCCACACAGCCUCUCUCUUUCUCUGAACAUUUUUUUUUUUAUGCAACAUACAUAUAUAUAAGGAAACUAACA
rnacentral:lncRNA from 1 species